GACGAACGCUGGCGGCGUGCUUAACACAUGCAAGUCGAACGGAAAGGCCCUGCUUUUGUGGGGUGCUCGAGUGGCGAACGGGUGAGUAACACGUGAGUAACCUGCCCUUGACUUUGGGAUAACUUCAGGAAACUGGGGCUAAUACCGGAUAGGAGCUCCUGCUGCAUGGUGGGGGUUGGAAAGUUUCGGCGGUUGGGGAUGGACUCGCGGCUUAUCAGCUUGUUGGUGGGGUAGUGGCUUACCAAGGCUUUGACGGGUAGCCGGCCUGAGAGGGUGACCGGCCACAUUGGGAAUGGGAAUCGGCCCAGACUCCUACGGGAGGCAGGAGGGGGGAAUAUUGCACAAUGGGCCGAAGCCUGAUGCAGCAACGCCGCGGGCGGGAUGACGGCCUUCGGGUUGUAAACCGCUUUCGGCUGUGACGAAGCGUGAGUGACGGUAAUGGGUAAAGAAGCACCGGCUAACUACGUG
rnacentral:rRNA from 1 species